rnacentral:rRNA from 1 species
GGUAAUUUGACCGUGCAAAGGUAGCAUAAUCAUUAGUUUUUUAAUUGAAAGCUGGAAUGAAAGGUUGGAUGAGAAAGAAGCUGUCUCUGUUUAAUUUGUUUAGAAUUUUAUUUUUAAGUUAAAAAGCUUAAAUUUAAAUAGAAGACGAGAAGACCCUAUAGAGUUUUAUUAUUUUUUUUUAUAAAAAUAAUAGUAUUUUUAAAUUUUAUAGAUAAAAUUAAUUUAGUUGGGGUGAUUGAAAAAUUAAAUUAACUUUUUUUUUAUAAAUACAUUUAUAUAUGAUUAUUUGAUCCUUAAUUUGAGAUUAAAAGAUAAAAUUACCUUAGGGAUAACAGCGUAAUUUUUUUUGAGAGUUCUAAUCGAAAAAAAAGAUUGCGACCUCGAUGUUGGAUUAAAAUAAAAUUUUGGUGUAGAAGCUAAAA